UUUGAUGGUGGGAAGGUGUCCACUGUGAAAUUUUCAUGUUUGGAUUGAUGGGGGCAUCAAAUUUGCAGACAAAGCUGAGCUUGGUCUUUCAAACUUGCCGCUGCUUAAUUAUAAGGUAAGAAUUCCAGGCAAGCUCAAUCCUUUAUCAGGCAAGACCUCGCCCUUAUGUCUAGGAAUACUUGCCUAAUCCUUUACAGUCUUUGUUCUUUGUAUACUAUUUAUCCGUUGAUCGAAUAAAUUUCUAUUGCCCCUUAUUUAACAAAAAAGAAAAAAGAA
rnacentral:lncRNA from 1 species